rnacentral:rRNA from 1 species
GUGGCGGACGGGUGAGUAAUGUCUGGGAAACUGCCUGAUGGAGGGGGAUAACUACUGGAAACGGUAGCUAAUACCGCAUAACGUCGCAAGACCAAAGAGGGGGACCUUCGGGCCUCUUGCCAUCGGAUGUGCCCAGAUGGGAUUAGCUUGUUGGUGGGGUAACGGCUCACCAAGGCGACGAUCCCUAGCUGGUCUGAGAGGAUGACCAGCCACACUGGAACUGAGACACGGUCCAGACUCCUACGGGAGGCAGCAGUGGGGAAUAUUGCACAAUGGGCGCAAGCCUGAUG